CUACGGGCUGCACCAGUGGGGAAUAUUGGACAAUGGGCGCAAGCCUGAUCCAGCCAUGCCGCGUGAGUGAUGAAGGCCCUAGGGUUGUAAAGCUCUUUCGCCGGUGAAGAUAAUGACGGUAACCGGUAAAGAAGCCCCGGCUAACUUCGUGCCAGCAGCCGCGGUAAUACGAAGGGGGCUAGCGUUGUUCGGAAUUACUGGGCGUAAAGCACACGUAGGCGGACAUUUAAGUCAGGGGUGAAAUCCCGGGGCGCAGCCCCGGAACUGCCUUUGAUACUGGAUGUCUUGAGGCCGGAAGAGGUGAGUGGAAUUGCGAGUGUAGAGGUGAAAUUCGUAGAUAUUCGCAGGAACACCAGUGGCGAAGGCGGCUCACUGGUCCGGUACUGACGCUGAGGUGCGAAAGCGUGGGGAGCAAACAGGAUUAGAUACCCGGGUAGUC
rnacentral:rRNA from 1 species